rnacentral:lncRNA from 1 species
CUCAGUUGGUAGAGUGCUUACCUUGCAUGCACAAGGCCCUGGGUUCAAUCCCCUGCACCUCAAAAAUAAAAAAAAAGAACUUGCUUCUUGUUGUUAACAGAGUUAUUUAAGCCUUAAGUCACAAGUUUGGACUUUACUUAAUCCUCUGUUUCCUAUAAAAAAAAAUAAUCAUAAAAUAAGGGACUAAAGAGGAUCUAUUUUAGGAAUAUAAUAAUUUCUUGUAAUCUCUGGGUCUUAAUUUCAUUUUAAUAUUGCUGUUUGAACCUCUGAAGUCCUACCUUUAAAGAAAGAUGAUGAAUCUUAAAGGAAGGCACUUUUGCCUUCYGUGCCACAGGUGUUGGAGUGGCAGGUCCUCCAGCAUACUAGGUGAGGCACCAUAACAAAGUUGAACUCUGCAUCUGGAAAGCCCAAGAUUGAAGAAGAAAGAUCAGAGACAUUGACUAACCUGGAAACGGGAACAUCUUUGGAACUUGGUUUUAUCUACAGUAAUCAUUUAAAGUAUCAACAAGUGGAAUUAAUUUCUUCAUUUCAUUCUGCUUAUUAGGAAAAACAUGACUUCAAGGAUUUU